CAGGGUAGAAAUAGAAGCAGUUGGCAUGAAUGGCCCUAAAUGUGAACAGCCAGUAAGCAGGAGAGGAGUAAACACUAGAAGGGAUGAUAGGUAGGUUGAAGAAGGAGGUCCUCAGAGGAAAGAGGACCAACCAAGGUAUAAGUGAACAUGGAGGAGCCCCAAGGAAUCAUGCUGACAGUGUCCUUCCUAAUUCAAGGAGCAAAGACCCUGUGCCUGGGAAUAGCAGUCACAGUGUCUGAUAUUUAUUUAGGGCAAGUGACCAGCGCGAUCUCACAGAGCACAAAUCCUCAGACCACGACCAGAGUCACAGCCAUUCUGACAAUUCACCUAACAAGAUUGACGAAGUUGCAUAUUCUGCCCUGAACUUCAAUGCCCAGGAAUCAAAGAAACCAACUUCAGCCUCCCCAUCAGCCACAGAAACAGUUUAUUCAGAAGUGAAAAAUAAGUAAUGCAACCAGUCCUGCUCGCUGCACUUAUUCCAAGCUUCUCAUCCCCAUCCCUAGGAGAUCCCUUUGCCAUCCGGGGAAAAUGGGAAUAGUGUCUUUCCCCGCCCUUUCGCCCCUAAUGAGGCUCCUCCAGGCUGCCUGGUCACAGUCCUUUCCUUCAGUGUCAGUAGAUGAAAAGGUACAUCCAGGAGGAGGUCUGUAGGAAACCCAACCUUCCUUGUCAUUGAACUUUGUCAAAGCACACCUUGGGAGAGAGUUGCCAGAACCUCCACGCCUCCCCAUUUCCUGACCUAAACUGGUUUUAAACUUGCCUAUUCAGAACACACUCAUUCCUUCCCACCCCAGUCCUUUCAUAUUGGAGUUUAACUUGAAUUUGCCAUAACCUGGAAAUUAUGUCCUUGAUCCACUGAAAUGCAUGUGCCAGAAAAGGAGAGGAAAAGGAAAAACUUCUCCUGCUCUCUGAAGCCCGGUGUGAACCCACCAUUCACAGGAAAACACAUACAUAACCAAUUCUGAACUGGGAAAUUCUAUACCUUUGUCCACUUUCAGGGUCGUCUACCUGCAGGACCAGGGCUAAACAACUUACUACUUAGCUAGAAUACCACCUAAACCUUUGAAAGCCUGUCUUCAGAGAACCUACUAGAAGCAACUAGAAAACAACUUCUCAAAGUCCAUAAGUGAAUCCUAAUGGAAAUUGCAAAAAAUGCACAUACUGUUUUAAUAACUUUAUGGGCUCAUUAAAGGAAAUGCUCAGAGAUGGAGGGAUUAUCGCUUUAGAAGACAAUCAGCUCUUAACAGAGACAAUCUGCUGGGAUUUGGGAAAGGAAUCAGAAAGUUACCCUGCAGAGAUUAUUUAAAUAAUGGUUAAAGAAUGUACAAUUUGGGGUAUUGGGUUUUUUCCUUCCUUCUGAGACAUUCGCCAUUUAAAUUUUUGUAAUUGUUUGUUUAUGUGAAAGGGGUUAUGUUUACUUAAUUUGCUGUGUAAGCCAAUCUGACUGCCUUAGGUGAAAGAAGACACCAAAACCCCUCAAGUCCCUCUGGCCAGGAGCUCCUCAAGCCUUUUAUGUCAGGGGCUCCAAAAAGAAGAUAAGA
rnacentral:lncRNA from 1 species